GAUGAACGCUGGCGGCGUGCCUAACACAUGCAAGUCGAACGGAGUCGUGUUGGAAAUCUCUUCGGAGAGGGAAUUCGCGACGUAGUGGCGGACGGGUGAGUAACGCGUGAGCAAUCUGCCGUGGAGAGGUGGAUAACAGUCGGAAACGGCUGCUAAUACCGCUUCAAUCAUUAAAUUCGCAUGUUUUUGAUGCCAAAGGAGCAAUCCGCUUUUAGAUGGGCUCGCGUCUGAUUAGCUAGUGGGCGGGGUAACGGCCCACCCCGGCGACGAACAGUAGCCAGGCUGAGAGGUUGAACGCCCCCAUUGGGACUGAGACACGGCCCAGACACCUACGCGAGGCAGAAGUGGAGAAUAUUUCGCAAUGGGGGCGACCCUCACGCAGAGACGCCGCGUGAUAGAAGUAGGGCUUCGCGUUGUAAAGAUCUUUGAUCAGGGACGAAACACAUGACGGUACCUGAAGAAUAAGCUCCGGCUAACUACGUG
rnacentral:rRNA from 1 species